rnacentral:rRNA from 1 species
UACGUAGGGUGCGAGCGUUGUCCGGAAUUAUUGGGCGUAAAGAGCUCGUAGGCGGUUUGUCGCGUCUGCUGUGAAAACUCGGGGCUUAACCCCGGGCCUGCAGUGGGUACGGGCAGACUAGAGGUAUGCAGGGGGAGAACGGAAUUCCUGGUGUAGCGGUGAAAUGCGCAGAUAUCAGGAGGAACACCGGUGGCGAAGGCGGUUCUCUGGGCAUUACCUGACGCUGAGGAGCGAAAGUGUGGGGAGCGAACAGG